GUGCUCGCUUCGGCAGCACAUAUACUAAAAUUGGAAUGAUACAGAGAAGAUUAGCAUGGCCCCUGCACAAGGAUUACAUGCAAAUUCGUGAAACAUUCCAUAUUUUU
ensembl:snRNA U6 U6 spliceosomal RNA